UAUUGAUGUAUACAUACAUGCAUGGUACACUUAAUUACUAAAAAAAAAGGAUAAUACCAAAUUGAGCAUUAGAGCUUGAUUGAAUAUAUUGCCGGAUCGGGAUCUGAGCUAGGGUGGGUUUGGUUCUAAGCGGCUUCAGGCCCAACUUCAGGCUUGAUUAUCGAGUUUGUUCCGACAUCAACCCGAAAGAACAGCACGAAUCGAACUACCUCGGGUCUAGCUCAUGGUUUGACAUAUGUU
rnacentral:lncRNA from 1 species